rnacentral:lncRNA from 1 species
GUCACGGGCCUAAUUUUAGCCACGUGCGGACAGCUUAACACUCACGAUAUCGAGGCUAAACUUCAGUCCUAAACCGCCCUAAAUUCGUCCCAAGAACUUUCGAACACUCACACGAACUCACGAGGAAAUAGUAAGAAAGACACUCGGUUUUGGGAGGCCCGAAGAGCCAAUUUUCAGAUUAUAUUUCUUGAAUAUUUGAAGUGAAUGAUCUGCCCAAGAGGGCCUUUACAAGCUAUAUAUAAUGCCCCUUAGUCAAGGGAUACAAUUAAUGCUAGUCAACAUUACCCUAUUUGGGCAUACAAGCCAUGAACAAUUAGAAAGGGCUUUGUCUAGUAUGCUGAUUUUGUAGAGCAGUCACUGCUCAGCUGGUCAAGGC